rfam:Zootermopsis nevadensis contig2937, whole genome shotgun sequence.
GCCCCGGUGGUCUAGCGGUUAGAACGCUGGCCUUGUAAUCCUGGGGUCUCGGGUUCGAUUCCCGGCGGUGCC